rnacentral:ncRNA from 1 species
GCAACCUCAAGCGUUGCCAUGAAGACCCUUUGGUGUUCGCCUCCAUGCUCGGCAUUUCGUGGAUGUGGUUCUUUGGCGCGGGCUUUUUGGCCAUGUUCCCGAUCCUGAGCAAAGACGUGCUG